rnacentral:tRNA from 1 species
GCAGUGGUAGUUCAAUGAGAGAAUUCUCACCUCCCAUGUGGAAGACCUGGGUUCGAUUCCUGGCCAACACA